rnacentral:lncRNA from 1 species
AAAUGUAUCAAACUUGUAAAAUAAAUGAUGUAAUAAUAUGAUUGUAACUGGAAGUAAAAUGUAAAUUCGAAGCUGAGAUGUACUAAGUGAAUGCUUGUAAUAGCUGUUAGUUUUAUGUAUUUGAUACUUUCUUUGCAAUCUGGAUUGGUAUUCGUUCCUUGUUGGAACAUUCGUUGAUUGUUUGGAUUGUGACGCCUAGAACGUACAGGGGGGACUCUGUCCGCGUAUAGGGGAAAUCCCGGUCCGUUCGGCGGUCUGUCGUCGGCGCCGCGACCCGGUCCAAAUUGGUGGUUGGUCGCGGGGUGUGACAGAUAAAGUUGUAUGAGAGCAUAAAGUAGAAAAUGGGAGGAAAAUGGUUUAGACAGACCUAGGGAACCCUAGGAUAGUGAAACCAUCGGAGAAUCAGGUUCAUGAGAGACGAGGACUUAUGAUUUGUGGCGAAAGGUAAUGGAUUGGGUUGUGUCGUAAACCUCUAAGACGGAUAUUAGAGGUA